rnacentral:rRNA from 1 species
ACUCCUGCGGGAGGCAGCAGUGGGGAAUUUUGGACAAUGGGCGAAAGCCUGAUCCAGCAAUGCCGCGUGCAGGAUGAAGGCCUUCGGGUUGUAAACUGCUUUUGUACGGAACGAAAAAGCUCCUUCUAAUACAGGGGGCCCAUGACGGUACCGUAAGAAUAAGCACCGGCUAACUACGUGCCAGCAGCCGCGGUAAUACGUAGGGUGCGAGCGUUAAUCGGAAUUACUGGGCGUAAAGCGUGCGCAGGCGGUUAUGUAAGACAGAUGUGAAAUCCCCGGGCUCAACCUGGGAACUGCAUUUGUGACUGCAUGGCUAGAGUACGGUAGAGGGGGAUGGAAUUCCGCGUGUAGCAGUGAAAUGCGUAGAUAUGCGGAGGAACACCGAUGGCGAAGGCAAUCCCCUGGACCUGUACUGACGCUCAUGCACGAAAGCGUGGGGAGCAAACAGGAUUAGAAACCCCAGUAGUCCCAUGA